GAUGAACGCUGGCGGCGUGCUUAACACAUGCAAGUCGAACGGAGAUUAUAUGUGAGCGUAAGCAGCCUGCUAUGAACAAGCUUUUAUAAUCUUAGUGGCGGACGGGUGAGUAACGCGUGGAUAACCUGCCUUGUACCGGUGGCUAACACUUAGAAAUAGGUGCUAAUACCGCAUAAGCGCACAGGACCGCUUGGUUUGGUGUGAAAAAAGCCGGUGGUACAAGAUGGAUCCGCGUCUGAUUAGCUAGUUGGCGGGGUAAUGGCCCACCAAGGCAACGAUCAGUAGCCGGCUUGAGAGAGUGAACGGCCACAUUGGGAUUGAGACACGGCCCAAACUCCUACGGGAGGCAGCAGUGGGGAAUAUUGCACAAUGGGCGAAAGCCUGAUGCAGCGACGCCGCGUGAGUGAAGAAGUAUUUCGGUACGUAAAGCUCUAUCAGCAAGGAAGAAAAUGACGGUACUUGACUAAGAAGCCCCGGCUAACUACGUGCCAGCCGCCGCAGUAA
rnacentral:rRNA from 1 species